rnacentral:tRNA from 4 species
GCGGAAGUAGCUCAGUUGGUAGAGCAUCACCUUGCCAAGGUGAGGGUCGCGGGUUCGAGUCUCGUCUUCCGCUCUA